rfam:Asian citrus Psyllid, Diaphorina citri - Florida Strain, whole genome shotgun sequence.
GCCUCGGUGGUGUAGUGGUCAGGCUCGCCUGGUAAUCAGGAGGGCGUGGGUUCAAUCCCAGCCGAGGCA